GAUGAACGCUGGCGGCGUGCCUAAUACAUGCAAGUCGAGCGAACAGAUGAGGAGCUUGCUCCUCUGACGUUAGCGGCGGACGGGUGAGUAACACGUGGAUAACCUACCUAUAAGACUGGGAUAACUUCGGGAAACCGGAGCUAAUACCGGAUAAUAUAUUGAACCGCAUGGUUCAAUAGUGAAAGACGGUUUUGCUGUCACUUAUAGAUGGAUCCGCGCCGCAUUAGCUAGUUGGUAAGGUAACGGCUUACCAAGGCAACGAUGCGUAGCCGACCUGAGAGGGUGAUCGGCCACACUGGAACUGAGACACGGUCCAGACUCCUACGGGGGGCAGCAGUAGGGAAUCUUCCGCAAUGGGCGAAAGCCUGACGGAGCAACGCCGCGUGAGUGAUGAAGGUCUUCGGAUCGUAAAACUCUGUUAUUAGGGAAGAACAAAUGUGUAAGUAACUAUGCACGUCUUGACGGUACCUAAUCAGAAAGCCACGGCUAACUACGUG
rnacentral:rRNA from 1 species